rnacentral:rRNA from 1 species
GAUGUACGCUGGCGGCGUGCCUAAUACAUGCAAGUCGAGCGAACAGACGAGGAGCUUGCUCCUCUGACGUUAGCGGCGGACGGGUGAGUAACACGUGGAUAACCUACCUAUAAGACUGGGAUAACUUCGGGAAACCGGAGCUAAUACCGGAUAAUAUAUUGAACCGCAUGGUUCAAUAGUGAAAGACGGUUUUGCUGUCACUUAUAGAUGGAUCCGCGCCGCAUUAGCUAGUUGGUAAGGUAACGGCUUACCAAGGCAACGAUGCGUAGCCGACCUGAGAGGGUGAUCGGCCACACUGGAACUGAGACACGGUCCAGACUCCUACGGGAGGUAGCAGUAGGGAAUCUUCCGCAAUGGGCGAAAGCCUGACGGAGCAACGCCGCGUGAGUGAUGAAGGUCUUCGGAUCGUAAAACUCUGUUAUUAGGGAAGAACAAAUGUGUAAGUAACUAUGCACGUCUUGACGGUACCUAAUCAGAAAGCCACGGCUAACUACGUG